CAUGUCAGAUGACAAGCCCGCCCUAACUUCCUCUGGUCAAGAUGGCUUGAGCGACAGCAGACAUGCGAAACUUUCUCUGAACAGAUUAAGCUAAUUCGAAGUGAAUUACAAGUGAAUUUAGGAUACAAUUGCAGAUAUUUUAUUGAGGAGUGACAGUAACUUGAAAAGAAACAGAUUUAUAAAGAAAUAACGAAGAUUUGCAACGUUCUUCUAUCGCCCUGUGUGACGACCACGUGAAAGAAAAUUUUCUGCAUUCUCCAUUAAGAUCGUUGAAAACCGAACUUUGAACAACUUUGAACAUAUUCCCUUGGCCGGGUUUUUUUUUUUUUUGGGUGUGUUGUUUUUUGUUUUUGGAUUUGAACUGCUGUGCUGGAUCCUGGAUUCGUCCGCCCUGCUUGCCUUCCCUGGAGAGCUACAGCGGCGCGCGGACUGGCGAGCCACCCAUGUGAUCGACCUGCAAUUUUAAAAAGAAGGAAAGAGUUCAAUUGUGCCUUCUAAGAUGGUGGUAGGACAAGAGUUUGAAUUCUACAAACUGAACUCAGCAACAAGUGGUCCAACAACCACACGGACUAAACUGAUUUGCACAGAUAGUGUUUUAGAAAAGUGUUUUGGUGUUAUAGUGUGAUAA